CGGACCUCAGAUCAGGCAAGACUACCCGCUGAGUUUAAGCAUAUCACUAAGCGGAGGAAAAGAAACUAACAAGGAUUCCCU
rnacentral:rRNA from 1 species